AACUUUCAACAAUGGAUCUCUUGGCUCCAGCAUCGAUGAAGAACGCAGCGAAAUGCGAUAACUAGUGUGAAUUGCAGAUUUCAGUGAAUCAUCGAGUCUUUGAACGCACAUUGCGCCUCUUGGUAUUCCUCGAGGCAUGCCUAUUCGAGCGUCGU
rnacentral:rRNA from 1 species